AAUCUGCCUGGUAGUGGGGGACAACGUUUCCCCAGGAACGCUAAUACCGCAUACGUCCUACGGGAGAAAGCAGGGGACCUUCGGGCCUUGCGCUAUCAGAUGAGCCUAGGUCGGAUUAGCUUGUUGGUGAGGUAAUGGCUCACCAAGGCGACGAUCCGUAACUGGUCUGAGAGGAUGAUCAGUCACACUGGAACUGAGACACGGUCCAGACUCCUACGGGAGGCAGCAGUGGGGAAUAUUGGACAAUGGGCGAAAGCCUGAUCCAGCCAUGCCGCGUGUGUGAAGAAGGUCUUCGGAUUGUAAAGCACUUUAAGUUGGGAGGAAGGGCAGUCAGCGAAUACCUGGUUGUCUUGACGUUACCGACAGAAUAAGCACCGGCUAACUCUGUGCCAGCAGCCGCGGUAAUACAGAGGGUGCAAGCGUUAAUCGGAAUUACUGGGCGUAAAGCGCGCGUAGGUGGUUUGUUAAGUUGGAUGUGAAAGCCCCGGGCUCAACCUGGGAACUGCAUCCAAAACUGGCAAGCUAGAGUAUGGUA
rnacentral:rRNA from 1 species